rnacentral:rRNA from 1 species
UACGUAGGGUGCGAGCGUUAAUCGGAAUUACUGGGCGUAAAGCGUGCGCAGGCGGUUGGUUAAGUCUGAUGUGAAAGCCCCGAGCUCAACUUGGGAAUGGCAUUGGAAACUGGCUGGCUAGAGUGUGGCAGGAGGGGGGUGGAAUUCCGCGUGUAGCAGUGAAAUGCGUAGAGAUGCGGAGGAACACCGAUGGCGAAGGCAGCCCCC